UACAGAGGGUGCGAGCGUUGUCCGGAAUCACUGGGCGUAAAGGGCGCGUAGGUGGCGGCCCAAGUCCAUGGUGAAAGCUCGUCGCUCAACGACGAGUCGGCCACGGAUACUGGGUUGCUCGAGCACUGUGGAGGCAGAUGGAAUUCCGGGUGUAGCGGUGGAAUGCGUAGAGAUCCGGAAGAACACCGGUGGCGAAGGCGGUCUGCUGGGCAGUAGCUGACACUGAGGCGCGACAGCGUGGGGAGCAAACAGG
rnacentral:rRNA from 1 species